AUGUACCACGCGUACCCUGCGGUUGCUUCGCACCCUCCGCGCCCACCUGGCGACUGCUCGCUACGUUUUGUUAGCC
rnacentral:sRNA from 1 species